rnacentral:lncRNA from 1 species
AUAUAUAUAUGUGUGUGUGUGUGUGUGUGUGUGUGUGUGUGAGGGUUCACGGCCGUGAACCUCGUUUGCGGCCCUAAGGCGGUUUGCGAGAUUGCGGUCUGAAGUCGUUCACGGUCCGAGGGUUUGCGGCCCUCGUUCAUGACCGAAGUCUGAUGUUCUCGGUUGCGAGGCUGCUGUCCGAAGGGAAAGAAAGAAUGGUCUUCAGACUUCAAGAUUUCACCUCUUAAACAUAUGACACUUAUAAAACAUUAAUCCAAUCCAUUUAAGAUAGAAUAAGAUUUAAGUUGACUUUUGUUGACCCACGUUUGACUUUGGUUGACUAAGGUUGACUUUACAAGAAGAAAAUAAUGGGAUGUUACAACAUGAUUCUUGACUUUUUACGUAUUUCCUUUUGAUUUUUCAUUAGGAUCAUGAUGUGGAUGUUGUUUGGGGGAUAUCAUGUCAAAUACUUGAUUUUUUUUUUUGCUAAAGCAAGGACAACAAUGGUUGUAAUCGAAUGGUUUAAACAUGAGUACUCCUGCAAUUCUUGAUGUCAAAUACGGGGUGGAGGUAAUUAAAUUUCACUUCAUUAAUUUUGGUUGUUUCAGCUAACAUAAUCAGGAAAAAAAUCCAACAUAACCUACCCAUAUUAACGGCUUUGAACUCGUCCCAAAUGGAAGUACUAACCGGUAAAUGGAAGAUCCAAGAGUCAUGGUUCCAUCCCUAAGAAAGAAAAACAUACAUAUAUUUUACACGUUUGGCAAAAAUAUUAGUCUAUUUUGAUUUUCUUUUUCUUAGUGAUAUUGUGUUUGCUAAUGGAACCUUAUGUCUAUCGUUUUUUUACCAGGUAAACAUCGUGACAAUGUUCAAUAAAGGUUUCAAGAUCUUGAUGUCUAAAAGAAGCAUUCCCUUUGAACACAUAUCUAACAAGCUUCAUUUUCUUAUCACCGACUAAAGCAGUGCAGGUUCUAACUUUGUAUGUUCUCUCUCACCGACUUCAAGUACGCAAGGUUUAGUUUGUGUUUCGAUAUUUAUAGUUUUAAUUAUGAAUUUUAGGUAUCAUCAAAAUGGAUUUCUUUUUUUUUUUUUGUACAGGGGCUUAAUAUGGAUCAGAUUUCUUAUCAAGGAUCCUUUUGAUUCGGGUCUUUAUCCAAGGUGAGUCGCAUUGUUGGUUAAAAUUUUAGAUAUGAUGAUAACUUUCAGUUGAUUACUGAUUUUUGUUGACAUUUUCAGAUUUUAAUGCACUUUUGAAUGAUAACUUUUAAGUAGUUAUAGAUCCAAUGAUAACUUUUAAAUUUUAAUCCACUUAGCAUUCUACAAAUAUCUUACACGAGUUAUCUUUUGGUUAUUGUUACUAAAAACUUCAUCAACAUUUUUUACAGGUUAAGAAUCUCAGGAAAGAUGUUAAUAUUGUUGGUGUAGUAUGUUGAGAUCAGCCUCAACGGUAUAUUGUUUCUCCCUUUAACAUUAUCUUUGAAAUUGGAACAUUAAGCCUAUUUAACCUUGAAUUUUGUUGAAAGACGUGUGAAACUAUGUGGUGGUCUAUUGGUGAAUACUGUUGAAACGUUGAAGAAUUAACUCUCAUGUAUCAUAACCCUGAUGAAGGUAAAGACAAACCCAUCUUUAUGUCGUUUUUGUUUUCUUUGAUUUUGAUGAUUAUUUCUUUGUUUCACAAUUUAACAAAGAUAUGAUUUAUGUUGUUACAGGUUCUAUUCUAAUAUAUUUAGGGUUUAAGACAUGUGAUUCCUUAUAUGUUGACCCAAUAUAUGAUGAUAUUGCAAGUAGGAGAUGUCUAACUAAAAUGAAAGACAUGAAGGGAAGCAAUUACAAUUAGCUUAUCAUUAUCAUUAUCAUUAUAUACUUAUAAAGCUUGCAUUUUUUCUUGAACCACAUUCAUUUGAAACUCUCAUGCAUUUUUUAUUUUCACCACAUUCAUUUGAAACUCUCAUGACUUUUCAAUUUAUUUCUAAUAAUUAUUAUAAAUUGGUUAAUAAGGUUAAAUAAAUAUAAAACCUAAAGUGUAAUCAUAUAUAAACUAAAUUUCAAUAUUAAAAAUCUAUAUUUUCUUCUACUUAUAAAGUUUGUUUUUAACUUUUAAAAUACUAUAGUUAAUUUAAUAGGUCUAAUAUGUUGUAUGUAAACCAUUAUCAUUUUAAAGCUACAACUUUUGAUCAAUUUGUAUAAAAUACUUCAAUUGUUAAUUUAAAUAUAACCUUACAGGAUCAACUUAAAUAUAAAAUUUAGUUCAACUCAAACAACCCAAAGAAUAUUUUGUAAAUAGUUAAAAGUGAUAAAUUAUAGUGUCUUUCUAAUAAUGAUUAUAAAUUAUUUAAUAAGUUUAAAUAAGUAUCAAACCUAAAGUAUAAUAAAAAUAAACUAAAUUUCAAUAUUAAAAUAAUAUUUUUACUUCUACUUAUAAAGUUAUGUCUUUAAAUUUUAACAUAUUAUAUUUAAUUUAUUAGAUUUAAUAUGUUGUAUGUAAACCAUUAUCGGUUUAAAGCUACAACUUUUGAACUGUAUGGACAAAAUACUUAAAUUGUUAAUUUAAAUAUAACAUUACAUGAUCAACUUCAAUAUAAAUUUUAGUUCCACCUAAAAAAACCUAAAGAAUAUUUUGUGAAUAGUGAAAAAUGAUAAAUUGUAGUGCUAAAUACAAAAACUAAAUUGUAAUAUCAAUUCAUUAAAAUAUUUCUUAAAGAUAUUUUUAUAAUCGUUAAAAAUUUUGAAAUAAGUAGCUUAAAAUAACUUACAAUAACAAUAGUUAAAAAUAACUCUAUAUAAAUGAUUAUAUUGUUAUCUUUAAAAUAAAAAAAAAUUUAUUUGAUGUUUUAAAUAAUUACACUGAUAGAAAUUAAAACGUUAAACAAAUAAAUUUUAAUAAUGAAUUAACAAUAACAACUAGAAAUAAUAUUAAACCAUAUAUCAUAUUUAAUUUUAUUCAUGAAUAACCCGCAGGUAGAGGUCAAUCAAAAGAUUGUAAUUAUGCAGUUUUAAUAGAUGUAUAUAUUAUCAUAUAAUUCAAAAUAAUCAAUAUACAAUAUCAACUUAGUAUACGAAUUAUUAUAUCAAAUUUAACAACAUUAUUGUUAUAUUUUAAAAAACAUAUAUUUGUAAAGAUUUCAACUAUAUAGAUGCUUUUGCGCAACGCGCGGGCAUUCGCCUAGUAUGGGUAUAUGAUGGUGUAUGUUUUUAAUUGUCAUCUGGCUUUAGCCUUGAGUGUUAUUGUAGAUGAUAUUUAUAUAAGGAUUACAAAACAUGGUGGCAUAACUAGAACAUCAGGUGUAGGUGAUUCAAUACAAAAAUCAUCAGGUGUAGAACAUUUGGUGUGCAUACGCAAGUCAACAGAAGCAAGUUUCUAUGUAAGGUGUUUUUUGAACUUAUUUGUAGGAUAAUUACUAUCUUUUCAGGAUAUCAUGCCAUUGUCUAAGAUGUUUUUCUAAACUCUUAUCUGUACAACAAGAUAUGGAGCAACCUCUUAAAAGUUAAAAAGUGACAAUUAUCUAUUUGUUGUUCACAAUCAAGUUCACUGAAUCAUGUAAACAGAAGAAGUCAAAGUGUAAGUGCCUUUGAAUAUUAUAACCGAAUUUGAGAUCUAUAAAGUUAAAAGUGACAAUUACCGAUUUUACAAUUACCAAGUAAAAUUAACUAAUUUUUGUUUUUCAUUCUCUUGCUUCUAAUACUUUCUUUAGGAAAUGGCUAAGAGGAACGAGGAGCACUCUGUUUAAAAUGUAUUGUGUUUUCCCCGAUUAACUAUUUCUUUUUCUAGAUAAUUCCAUAGAUAAGUAACGUGCUUCAAACAAAAAUAUGUUAUGGGUUUUGAAGUUUGUUUUGCCCAAAGAAAAGAUAAUGUACUAUUAAAAAGUUCUAUUUUAGUGAAUUUGACCAUUUGCAAAAAGUUACAAUAAUAAUAAACAAAUCAUCUAAGUUACAAUAAUAUUUUACAUAUUUUUCGUAUUGGUGUUGUUUUAAGGUUAUUAUUUUACCCAUACACAACUUAAAAAUUGCUAACUGCUUAAAUUUUAUAACUUUAGGUAGAGUUUUGCCCUUCAUGUUGUUUUACCCACAAAAGGGUUGAAAAUGCUUCUUGAUUCGAGGCAAUGUAUUUUUAUGUAGUUUCUUUUAACAUUUCACUUUUAUUUAUUUUUUUAUUAUAACAUUAUAUCUUUAAAUUUUUACUAUGUAUGAUGAUUAUAUUUUUAUCAAUCUCCCGCCGCAACGCGCGACUUAAAAACCUCGUUUCUUACAUCACACUUUAUUACUAUUGAUAAAGCUGAUUUUUUUAAUUAAAAUUAACAUAACUAAUCCUUGAUAUGGUGAAGUCAACUUCCGGUUAAUUGUGUGUUACAAGUUUACAACAUCCUAUUUCAUUUACCUCCAUUACAACAUUAAACUUUUUCUUACUAAGUGCCUUCUGCUUUAAAAAAAUCUAACUACAUCUAUGUACUUUUGUUUUUGUCUUAUUAGAACAUUAUUUUUUCAAAAAUUGACCCCUAUUAUAAAAAUGAAAAAUGCUUUGUAUAUAAAGGACAUUGUUAACUUGGUAGAUUUUAAAAUUACAAUGUGCCUAACAACAAGAAGCAAAAGUAGGAUGCUGUAAUAAAUAAAUCAACAAAAGUAUGUUGCCAUUUCACAAACAAAUAUAUACUUCGGAUCAAAAUACAAUCAACUUUCUUGAGAAAUCUAAUCGUCAUGCUUUACAUAAUUAUGCAUCAAACCAUGAUAACGGAAGUUUACUUUCUAAAAAAGCAUGCUAUGUUAGGAACAAUAUCUUUGCAUGAUAAAUCUAACAGGAACAAAAUCCUUCAACUGUUGUAAUUAGAAAAGUUAAAGAGUUUAUGAUCCUACAUGCAGCGCAGCUUCUUUCACUAGUAUAGAAGAGAUUUGAUAAUGCGAUUAUUAUUAUUUGUUGAUGUGGUUUUCUAACCGCGCCAACACAUAUAAUAUCAAACAAAAACAAUAUUUGUUGAUGCGGUUUGUAAACCGCAUUAGAAAACGUGAAAAACCGUCUUAUAAAAUAUCUAAGUAAAAAUCACAAAUCGCACCAAAAACUUUGGAACCGCCCUAUUAAAUAAUUGCACCAAAAAACACAAAACUACUAUAUUAAAUAAUACCACAAAAAAAUACAAAACCGCCCUAUUAAAUAAUACCACAAAAAAAUACAAAACCGCCCUAUUAAAAUACAGCACCAAAAAAAUAACAAAACCGUACUAUCAAAAAUAACAUAUCAUUAAAACAAAUCAUCAUUAUAACAUAUCAUUAUAAGAAAUCAUCAAUAAACAAAAACAUACUAUUAAACAAAACAUUAUUAUACAAAAAACCAACAAUUUCUAAUUACACUUUAGUUAUAAUAAAACAAAAAACAUUAUAAUUCUUAAAAAAUUCUUUUCCGACCACCGUUCACCAUAUCAGUUAAACAAUGUACUAUUUCAAGACCUUAUCUUCAAGUUUAACAGCCGAAGCAAAACUUUUAUGUUCUCAACAAACUCGUUCAUAUGUUUUAUUACUAUAAAUCCACAUUCUCAUCCACCUUUUUGUUUGUAGCAGUGCAUUUAAUUCACAAUAACUAUUUCAAACCACUUGAAAUAUAUUGAUAAAAACUAAUAGAAAACAUAUUUUUACCAUUUCCCACUUAUUAAAUCGCCCCGGGAAAAUUUUUUCAAUUAAAGAAGCAAAGAGGUAAUCAUCCUUUUUCUUUUCCUCGUUGUUUUCAUAAAUUUAAGAAUCAAUAAUAUACUGCAAAAAAAAAAAAAAAAAAAAAAAAAAAAAAAAAAAAAAAAAAAAAAAAAAUAUUUAACAAGUAAACACAUGUGUAGCAUGUAUAUGUAUAAGUGUAGUGUAUAUAUGUAUGUGAACAUAUUAUGGAAAGAAAAAAAUUUACCUCUAUAAAUAUAUAUGGAACAAGAAAAUAUUGUUUGCCUUUAUGAUACGAAAAUAUUUAUUUGAUAUGUUCAACAACGGGCGACAGAUUGUUUUUAGUAUCUAAGUUUAUAAUGCAAAGCGGAUAAAAAAACCACAAUCAGAAUUGGGUUAUAUAUCAAGCCAAUCAUAAAAAUAGUUUUAAAACCUUUCAAAUGCAUAAGGCUAUAAUCAAAGUCAAUCUCUUAAAAAUAGUUGUAAAACCAUGAUAGGUAUCUUGAACCUUGCGGCGAUGCAUCCCUUUAACAACUCAGGAUCUUCAAGUGUAUAGAAUUCAGGUUCGGGUUCGGUUUCGGAUUGGGAUUUUUGUUCGGGUUCAAAUUCGGCUCCAGCUCGGGGUGCAUUUAAAUCAACUUGUAGUGGAUUCAUAGAUAAUAUUUGAAAACAAACACAAAACAUUAGUACAUAGAUAUGAUUAUAUGCGAACAUAAAACAUCCAAAAAUAAACAUAAUAUAUCUAAAAACAACAAGCAUGAAACAAGUUUUUAAUACUAACCAUAUCAAGUAAACCACCCUGAAUAUGUUCAUUAAUUUCAUGAUGAUAAAGAUUGUGGUUUUCCUCAGACUAAAUUAACAUACAAAUUGUUAUAAUAUUAAAAAAAAUCAAACUAAAUUAACAAAAAUUAAUAAUGAUUUGGUCGACUACCUGUGGACGAUAAACUGAAGUCGUCGUGAUGUCAUCAGCGUGUAUCUGUGGCGAACCACGAUUCGACCCCAUUCUCGUGCCACUAUUUGACUUGUUAAGUGUCUUGUUCACAAGCUAAAAUAUUUUGUAAUAUAUAAAUAAAAGUACACUAAAAUAUAUAGUUAUACUUAAAUACAAAUAUACCUUUAUAGCAUAUCCCAACCGAAUGUUUAACAUAUUCGACUUAUCCCGUUCAUGUGACGGCAUGCACAGGCAAGUUCUCAUAUAUUUCGAUGAUUUCAUUAACCUUAACUUUCACACAACCUUUAUUUAUAGGUUUUGAAUGUAUUACCAUUUCAGAUGUUGACCAUGCAAUAUCAUAAACUAUUUUCAAUUGGGUAUCAGCCACAUUCACAAGCAAAUCACAUUCUAUCCUAACCUGCAAAUCAUACAAUAUUUUUUUUAAAUAUAAUAUAAAAACAUGAUAUAUAUAUAUAUAUAUAUAUAUAUAAUUAAAUAUCCUUUUUAUGUGGAAACUAUAAAUAUAUUACUUCAAUAGGUGGAUCAUCUGUCAACCAUCCACCAGACGAACAACUAGAUUCAUGGAAUGUUGGGAUCAUGUCAACAUGUGGUUUCGUGUUUCAACUAUUUUCCACAUUCUUAAACAAUCCAUAGUAAACUUGAGUAGGGCCAAUGAUAUUGGAUAUUCUUUGUGAUCGCCCCCGUGAUCGUGUCCCAAAAGUCUAACUAAUGGGUCUUUUUUAUUUUGAAAAUUACUCACAUCGGCUAUCAUUCUUUUCUCUUUUUGUUCCUAUGAAAAAAAAAUACUUGGCAAGAUAUAUUUAGUAAAAAAACAAAAUCUUCAUCAAGUGAAAAACAUAAUUGUUUACCAUAAAAUGAAAAUCUUCAAUUGACCCUUGUAGAAAAAUCAUACAUAUUGGUUUUUUUGUUUUUUAUUGCAAAACCAUUAAAUACAGCCUAAACCGUUCAUUUUGUAUACGAUCCAGAAACUCGUAUUUUGAUACAAGUUGAGGCCAUAUACUGUCUUUUUUGUUCAAGACCCUACCAUCCACUUCGUGCUAAGCACACAAUGAAUAUUCUUUUGUCAUUGCUUUCUUUAGCUUUUGCACUUUUUGCCUUCAUACAUACCAACAAAAUAAUAAUAACAACAAUAACAAUAACAAUAAAUAAACAAUUAAAACAUACCAAAAACUCAGGGGUAGUUUUUUGUGCAACGAACCUAUUAUAUACAUCAGUUUUAUAAAACCAUAUUUAAGACAGUCAUUCAAUCCUUGGAUCAUAAAAUUUAUAACAAAGUAUGAUUUAAAAGUUGAUGCAACCUUCACAGCUUUCUUCUUCAUAAAAUUUUCCUGAUCAUCAGACUCAAUGUUCCACUGUUUUACAAUUUUAAAACAAGAGUUUAAACAUAAUAAUUAAUUAACAAGUUAUUCAUAUUUAUAAUAAAUUAAAAUAUAAAUACAUUGGUUCCAACCAUAAAUCUUUAAAAUAUGUUUCUUCAAGUUUACGUGUCUCUAUAUCUAUAGAAACCUAUGUCGAGCCAUCAUGCCAUACCAAGAAUUCAACCUCAUUGGCAUGCCACCGUUUGGAAUAUUAUUUUCAUCAAACUUCACUUGAUACUUUUUAGAGGAAUCUUUGACUUAAAUGCACCAAUACCACUUUCACAACAAUAAAUCAAUACUGUAAAUAUUCUAAACUAUACGACAUGAGACAGUCACGUUCAUAUAUAUUCUAAAAGAUUCGAAACACCUUUUCACAAUAAAACUUUUUGACAACAAAUCAAUACAUAUACACCUUGGUCGAGACAACAACAAAUCACUGUAUAUAUAUACUAACUCAAAAAUGACAUUGUGACGCGGAGACUUGUGGAACGAAUUAGGCGACGUGGACGGCGGAGUUAGUGAAUGUUGUCCGAUAAAUGUGAGAUUAAUCGUCGAUUUAGCCGUCCGGGACCACUAUAAACGGGAAUUUCCGUCGGAAGGGUUUAGGAUUUCGGAUAUGAAGGUUUCAAGACAAGAGCUCGCAUGCAAUGAAAAAUAUUUGUAAGGCAAAUGACGAAAAUCAUAAGAAGAAAACCUUUGUGGAGCGAUUUAGGUAUUUUUUGGGGCGAUUAAUGUAGGGGGAUAUCCGAAUUCUUAAACCCUUCUUCUGUAAUAUCUUUAAUAUUCGCCUACAUUAGUCGCCCCAAAAAAUACCUAAACCGUUCCCAAGGUUUUCCCUCUUAUGAUUUUCGUCAUUUGUUUUUCAAAUAUUUUCAUUGCGCGCGAGCUCUCUUCUCGAAACCUCCAUAUCCGAAUUCGUAAACCUUUCUCUGUAAUACCUUCAUAGCCCAGGCCGACGGAAAUUCCCGUUUUUAGUGGUCCCAAACGGCUAAAUCGACACUAAAUCUCACACUUAUCGGACAGCAUUCACUAACUCCGCCGUCCACGUAGACUAAUUCGCUCCAUAAGUCUCCGCGUCACAUUGUCAUUUUUAAGUUUUCUGUCAUAUAAGGUAUAUAUAUAUCCAUUGAUUUGUUGUUGUCUCGAAUAAGGUGUAUAUACAUUGAUUUGUUGUCAAAAAGUUUUAUUGUGAAAAGGUGUUUCGAAUCUUUUAUAAUAGAUAUGAACGUGACUGUCUCAUGUCGUAUAAUUUAGAAUCUUUACAGUAUUGAUUUGUUGUGAAAAAGUGUUACUACUUUAUAUUAUAGUUUGGAAUCUUUAGAAUAUAUAAACGUGACCGUCUCCCGUUUAAUAAAUGUAAUAUAUAGCCCCACAUAUAUAGGGUCUACCAAUUUAUUGGAUCGAUCCUUUUCACUGCAUUAUGUUAGAUUCUGGUUUUGUAUUCAUGUAAUAUACAAUUGUAUUGGAUUAUGGUUGUUGUCCUUAUGUAAUGUCUAUCUUCUGUUAUCUAUGGAUAAACUUAUUUUUAAUUUUUUUCAAUAUUGUUAGGUUUGUAAAAAUGGAAAAUGUACAAACAAGAAAAAGAGGUGAACACGGUAUUGGUGCAUUUAAGUCAAAGAUUCAUCCAGCAAAGUAUCAAGUGAAGUUCCAUAACAAUAAUAUUCCAAACGGUGGCAUGCCAAACCGGUUUAAUUCUUGGUAUGGUUAUGGUUCGACACAAGUUUCUAUAGAUAUAAAGACGGGUAAACUUGAAGAAACAUAUUUUAAAGAUUUAUGGUUGGAAACCAAGGUAUUUAUAUUUUAAUUUAUUACAAAUAUAAAUAACUUGUUAAUUAAUUAUUAUGUUUAACCUCUUUUGUUUUGAAAUUAUAAAACAGUGAAACAUUAAGUCUGAUGAUCAGGAAAAUUAUAUGAAGAAGAAAGCAAAACUAUAAAACAGUGAAACACUAAGUCUGAUGAUCGGGAAAAUUAUAUGAAGAAGAAAAGUUGUGAAGCUUGCAUCAAAUUUUAAAUCAUACCUUGUUAUAAAUUUUAUGAGUCAAUGAUUGAAUGCUUGUCUUAAAUAUGGGUUUUAUAAAACCUGAUAGGAUUGAUUUGUUGCACAAAAAACUACCCCCGAGUUUUUUGUAUGUUUUAAUUGUUUAUUUAUUUAUUUAAUUUUUUUUAGUAUCAUUAUUAUUAUAUAACCUCAACUUGUAUCAAAAUACAAGUUUCUGGAUCGUAUACAAAAUGAACGGUCUAGGCUGUAUUUAAUGGCUUUCACAAUAAAAAACAAAGAAACCAAUAUGUAUGAUCUUCUACAAUGGUCAAUUGAAGAUUUUCAUUUUUUGGUAAACAAUUAUGUUUUUUACUUGAUGAAGAUUUUGAUUUUUACUAGAUAUAUCUUGCCAAGUAUUUUUUUUUUUCAUAGGAACAAAAAAAGAAAAGAAUGAUGGCCGAUGAGAGUUAUUUUCAAAAUAAAAAAGACCCGUUAGUUAGACUUUUGGGACACGAUCACGGAGGCGAUCACAAAAAAUAUCCAAUAUCAUUGGCCCUACUCAAGUUUACUAUGGAUUGUUUAAGAAUGUGGAAAAUAGUCAAAGCACGAAACCACAGGUUGACAUGAUCCCAACAUUCCAUGAAUCUAGUGGUGUGUCUGAUAGACGGUUGACAGAAUAUCUACCUAUUGACAUAAUAUAUUUAUAAUUUCCACAUAACAUAGAUAUUUAUGUAUAUUAUAAAGUUAUGUUUUUAUAUUAUAUAUUUAUAAAAGAUGUUGUAUGAUUUUCAGGUUAGGAUAGAAUGUGAUUUGCUAGUGAAUGUGGUUGAUACCCAAUUAAAAGUAGCUUAUGAUAUUGCAUGGUCAACAUCUGAAACGGUAAUAAAGGUUAUGUGAAAGUUCAGGUUGAUGAAAUCAUUGAAAUAUAUGAGAGCUUGCCUGCACAUGUUAUAUGAAUGUCGCCACACGAACAGAAGAAGUUGAAUAUGUUAACCAUCUUCUGCAUACCCUCGUUCAUACCCUCGUUCAGUGGUUGAGAUAUGCAAUAAAGGUAUAUUUGAAUUUAAAUAUAACUAUAUAUUUUAGUAUAUUUUUAUUUAAAUAUUACAAAGUAUUGUAGCUUGUGAACAAGACACAUAGCAAGUCAAAUAAUGGCACAGAAAUGGGGUCGAAUCGCAAUUCGAUACAGAUGACAUCACGACGACUUCAGUUUAUCAUCCACAAGUACUCGACCAAAUCAUUCUUAUUUUUUGUUAAUUUAGUUAAAAAAAAAUAAUAUUAUAACAAUUUGUUUGUUAUUUUAGUUCGAAGAAAACCACAUUCUUUAUCAUCAUGAAAUUAAUAAACAUAUUCAAGAUGGUUUACUUGAUAUUGUUGGUGUUAAAAACUUGUUUUAUGCUUGUUGUGUUUAGAUUUAUUAUGUUUGUUUUUAGAUGUUUUAUGUUUGUAUAUAAUCAUAUCUAUGUACUAAUGUUUUGUGUUUUUAGAUAUUGUCUAUGAAUCCACCACAAGUUGAUUUAAAUGCACCCGAGCCGGAAUCGAACCCAAACCCGACCCAGAACUCAAAUCUAAAUCCAAAACCAAACCCGAACUUAAAUUUUAUACAUUUGAAGAUCCUAAGUUGUGUAUGGCUCCUUAAGCAGAGUACAACAAUAACGACCUAAGUUUCUAUCUGUUGUUUUUCAAUUUGAUUUUCAAGUAUCAAGGUUUUUUGGGAAUGCAAAUGCCAUUAAUAUUUUUUCACACAAAGAGAGGCAUCGCAUCAGGGUUCAAUUUACCAUCUCAUAUCUUAGUGUUACAACUAUUUUUAAGAGAUUGGCUUGAUUAAGUUAUCAUGCAUUGGUUUGCAAUGUAAGUUAUUCUAUCUCUCUCUCUAUAUAUAUAUAUAUAUAUAUANNNNNNNNNNNNNNNNNNNNNNNNNNNNNNNNNNNNNNNNNNNNNNNNNNNNNNNNNNNNNNNNNNNNNNNNNNNNNNNNNNNNNNNNNNNNNNNNNNNNNNNNNNNNNNNNNNNNNNNNNNNNNNNNNNNNNNNNNNNNNNNNNNNNNNNNNNNNNNNNNNNNNNNNNNNNNNNNNNNNNNNNNNNNNNNNNNNNNNNNNNNNNNNNNNNNNNNNNNNNNNNNNNNNNNNNNNNNNNNNNNNNNNNNNNNNNNNNNNNNNNNNNNNNNNNNNNNNNNNNNNNNNNNNNNNNNNNNNNNNNNNNNNNNNNNNNNNNNNNNNNNNNNNNNNNNNNNNNNNNNNNNNNNNNNNNNNNNNNNNNNNNNNNNNNNNNNNNNNNNNNNNNNNNNNNNNNNNNNNNNNNNNNNNNNNNNNNNNNNNNNNNNNNNNNNNNNNNNNNNNNNNNNNNNNNNNNNNNNNNNNNNNNNNNNNNNNNNNNNNNNNNNNNNNNNNNNNNNNNNNNNUAUAUAUAUAUAUAUCAAAGAAGUACUUUCGUAUCAUAAAGACAAACAAUAUUAUUUUGCUCCGCAUUUACAGAGGUAAUUUUUUUCCAUAAUGUGUUCACAUUUAUAUACACACUACACAUAUAUGCUUACUUGUUAAAUAAUUCUUAUUUUUGCAGUAGGCAUCGGGUGCUUUUUAUCCUAUGUUCGGAAAGCAAAAUGCAGUUAUAUUCUUGAUUCUUUAAUUUACAAAAAGAACAAUGAAAAGAAAAAGAGCCUUUACCUCUUUGCUUCUUUAAUUAAUAAAGUUUUCCAGGGAUGAUUUAAUAAGUAGGGAACAAUAAAGGUAUGUUUUCUAUUAAUUUUUAUCAAUAUAUUUCAAAUGGUUUGAAAUAGUUAUUAUGAAUUAAAUGCAUUGCUACAAACAAAAAGGUGGAUCAGAAUGUGGAUUUAUAGUAAUAAAACAUAGAGAGAAUUUCAUAUAUGCCCCUUUUAAACUUCAAAAUAUCAUAUCUGCCCAGCUUAAUUUCUCAAUAUCAGUUUUAUCUUUCAUAAACCUUCAAAAUAUCAUAUUUGUCCAAGUCCUUUUUUAUAAUGUUUUUAAUAUUUUAUAAUUAUUUUUUAUACCUUAGAAUUAUUAUAAUAAUUAAAAAUUUUAACCAUGUCAUUCUUACGUCUAAUGGAAUAUGAACUUCUAAAUUGUUGGAAUGUCGCCCUUCUGACAAACAAAAAGAUUCAUCUUCAAUCCUCUCUAUGGAAUUUAUAUUUUGAUUGUUUAGUUUUGUUGUUGAUUAUUAUCAUGUAUAUGGAUGAUAUUUUAGAUAUUAACAUUGAUAUUUUGAUGUUUAAAAACUACAUAUACGAUAUUUUGAUAUUUAAGAAGAGCGUAUAUGAUAUUUUGAUGUUUAAAAAGAAAAUAUAUAAUAUUUAGAAAUUUUAUACAGGGUAAAUAUGAUAUUUAGAAAUUAAGUUGGGUAAAUAUGAUAUUUUUGAUGUUUAAAAAAUGCAUAAAUUAAAUUCUCUUUAGAACAUAUGAAGAAAUUUGUUGGGACCAGUCAACAUGAUUUAGAAAAUAAAGUAAGUAUUUUGUAUAUAUUUAAAAUAUCAAUAUUUUUAUUUAGUUAUAUAUAUUUUAAAUAUCAAUAUUUGUUUGUUAGUUGUAGUUUUGGAAAAAAAAAAUUUGCUUUGGCCAGUAAACUUGAAGAUAUGGUCUUAGAAAUAGUACCUCGUUUAAUUGACAUGGUGAACGAGUUGGUCAGAAAAAAAAUUUGUAAGAUUAUAAUGUUUUGCGUUUUAUUAUAAAUAAAAUGUUGAUUUGUUAUUGUUUAAUAAUAUGUUUUUGUUUAUUGAUGAUUUGUUAUAAUGAUAUGUUAUUUUUUAUAGUGCGGUUUUGUUUUUUUAUGCUGUAUUUUAUUAGGUUGGUUUUAUAUUUUUUAGUGUUAUUAUUUAGAAGGAUUUUGUAUUUUUUGGUGCUAUUAUUUAAUAGAGUGGUUCUUAAUUUUUUGAUGUGAUUUGCGAUUUUCACUUAGAUAUUUUAUAAGGUGGUUUUUCAUGUUUUCUAAUGCGGUUUACAAACCGCAUAAACAAAUAUUGUUAUUUUUUUAUGCUAUAUUUGUUGGUGCGGUUAGAAAACCGCAUAACAAAUAAUAAUAACCGCAUUAUCACUUAAAAUAAAAUGUAACUAAAACUUAAUGCUCCUAGAGACUCCGCCAACAAUUAAACAAAAAAUAAAAAGUUAAUAAAAUUAGCCUAAGAGGAAUUGUUAAUAAAACUCAAACUGAUCAAAAAACUUUAUGAUUUUGAGAAGAUUUGUUGUUCUCCUGUCUUACCAAAAGAAAUUAUUAUGUGUUAAUUUUGACAUUAAAAUCGUACAGAUAUCAAGUUUGGAAAAUCACAGUAAAUAGCAACAUGCUUUACUCUUUUUGAAGUGUGUGCAAUGUAACUUUAAAAAAAUAGCACCUUAGUUACAUGUCAAAAAAGAAAGAAAUGAAAAAUGAAAGUUAAAUUGCACACAGUGUGGGAACUCUGAAAUAAAAAAAUAAAUAAUAAUAAUAAUAAUUAUAAAAGUUACAGGACCCAACAAAGAUAAAUACUUACCUUCCAUUGAUGUGGAUAACUGUAUAUGUGCUAUGGCUUUUUCAACAUUGUUCACUACUUCCAUAAUGUUAACCAAACCAUGCACUCAGUCUCAUGUUUUUGCCUUUUUGUUCAAAUUCUUUUUUAACCUAACAAAAACAGAAACGGUGAAUACUGAAAUACUGUACGAGGUAAGAUUAUUGACUAAAAGAUCCUGAUCUGAUACAGUUAGUUUUCAUGUCCAUAUAUUAACUUUAUUUUUACAGGAAAAAAAAAAAAAACCCUGGACCCUGGAGAAAUAAAGUAGUAUAAAGAAUAAAUAAAAAAAAAGGUAUAAGAACGAAAAGAUGAGAAAGAAAAACCCCCAACAAACAGAUAAAACCAAGAAUCCCAACGAAAAACCAACAAAAUGCAGUUUCCUUCUUAAAUUAUAAUGCAUCUGGAAAAAUCAAAAUCAGAGUUUACAAAAAUACCGCCAACGAAUAGAUGAAGAAAAAGGCAGGGUAAUGCUAGAAACCCUAAUGAGUAGAAAGACAACAAAAUAAGAUUAAAGACAUAGCAAUUAACCUUUGAUUAUUUCCUAUUCAAACAUCAAUUUUAAUUUGACAAGGAAAUUACAAUAUCUUAACCGAAAAAAAAAAAAAAAAACAACCCUAGAGAAAACUUACAACGAUCUUGUUAAUUUCUUGGACUAGAGAGAUGAAUGAGAGUUACCUGCGCAGGUUGGGGGUGUUUACUGUUUAGGUCUCCGGCAGUGGAGUUACAUAGAUCGCUAUGGGUCAGGGGUGUUUGGGUUUGUUGAGGGCAGAAUAACUGAAGAACGCGCGACCACAAACAAAUCCUGUCGAAUUCAAAGGGUUUCUUAGAUCACCGGCGAAGAAAGGAAGGUAGUGUUUUGGCCUCCGGGGAGCGGAGGAGUUAGAGUAGAGAGAUCGUCAGGGUUUGGGUCUUGUGAGAACGGGAGUUAGGGCAUGUUUGGGGUUUGGGUCUUGUGAGAAUGAUGGGAAUGAUACGUUUUUAAAGUGCUUGUUUGGC